GACGAACGCUGGCGGCGUGCCUAAUACAUGCAAGUCGAACGCAGUGGGGACGGGUUAGUAACACGUGGGUAACCUCCCAUCAGAGGGGAUAACACUUGGAAACAGGUGCUAAACCGAUACUGAUGGAUGGACUCGCGGUGCAUUGGCCAGUUGGUGGGGUAACGGCUCACCAAGGCCACGAGGCAUAGCAUGCCUGAGAGGGUGAUCGGCCACACUGGGACUGAGACACGGUCCAGACUCCGACGGGAGGCAGCAGUAGGGAAUCUUGGGCAAUGGACGAAAGUCUGAUGCAGCAACGCCGCGUGAGUGAAGAAGGUUUUCGGGUCGUAAAGCUCUGUGGGUAGAGAAGCGGUAUCUAACCAAGAAGCCACGGCUAACUACGUGCCAGCAGCCGCGGUAAUUC
rnacentral:rRNA from 1 species